GACGAACCGAGCGAACGUUGUUCGGAAUCACUGGGCUUAAAGGGCGCGUAGGCGGGCAUCAUAGUCUGUGGUGAAAUCCGGCAGCUUAACUGUCGAAUUGCCAUGGAUACUGGGUGUCUCGAGGGAGGCAGGGGUGCGCGGAACUAAUGGUGGAGCGGUGAAAUGCGUUGAUAUCAUUAGGAACUCCGGUGGCGAAGGCGGCGCACUGGUCCUUUUCUGACGCUGAGGCGCGAAAGCCCAGGGGGAGCAAACGGG
rnacentral:rRNA from 1 species